rnacentral:lncRNA from 1 species
CUCUCUUCUCUCUUGGACCUUCAGGCGACGGCUUGGGUAUCUUCCAAGCGAAUUUUCCUUUCUUUCCUGUUCUUUUUUUUUUUUGAGACGGAGUCUUGCUCUGUCGCCCAGGCUGGAGUGCAGUGGCGUGAUGUCGGCUCACUGCAAGCUCCGCCUCCCGGGUUCACGCCAUUCUCCUGCUUCAGCCUCCUGAGUAGCUGGGGCUACAGGCGCCCGCCACCACGCCCGGCUAAUUUUUUUGUAUUUUUUUUUUUAGUAGAGACGGGGUUCCACCGUGUUAGCCAGGAUGGUCUCGAUUUCCUGACCUCGUCAUCCUCCCGCCUUGGCCUCCCAAAGUGCUGGGAUUACAGGCUUGAGCCACCGCGCCCCGCUCUUUCGUGUUCCAAAGGCUUUUUAAAUAAACUUCCACUCCUGUCCUGGAUUCUGCUUUAUGGCCCUCAGUCGAAUUCUUUCUUCUGAGGAGGCAAGGACUGAAGUUGCUUCUGACCAGUACAGUUUCCCUGACUCUUAGAGCCGUGGAGCAGUGUGUGUCAUGUGCUGCACACCCAGGCUGGAACAGCCUGUCUCCAGGAGAAAACGAAUACAGCAGGGAUGACUUCCACCAGCUCCACUUUGCAGCUCUGAGGUGUAUUAAAAAUGACCUGGAAGAAGUCAUGCCACGGGCCAGACCUUAACAUUCCUUUCGGCUUACCCCAGGAUUUCAGACAAAGCUUCACUUUCCUAACCAGUCACAAAUCAGAGAAUUUUUGAUUCCACCUAUGACCUGUGAGCUCCUGCUUCAAGAUAUUCCACCUUUUUUAGGCCAAACCAAUGUAUAACCUCCAAGUGUCGAUUUACACUUUCGACUGUAACUUCUGCUUUCCUGAGAUUUACCCCUGCCUUUAAAAACCCUUGCUUGUAAUCCCUCAGGGAGGCCGUGUAUUUAUUAAUCAUGAGCUGCCCAAUUCUCCUUGCUUGGUGCCCUGCAAAUAAACACC